AUUGCAUUGGCCAGGAAUCGAACCCGGGGCGCCCGCGUGGCAGGCGAGCAUUCUACCACUGAACCAAAAGCAA
rnacentral:tRNA from 1 species